UCGUUAUAUUUGAUAUUAAAAUUUAAAAUCUAAUGCUAGGAAAUCCCUCAAAAAAUUAACAAAAAUAAAAGGAGUAUUAUAUUUGAUCUCAAGAUUUUAAUACAGGUAAUCCUCAUUCAGUUUAUCUAAAUGACCGCUUGAUAUAUUUAAAAGUUCUUAGUUUAUUGAUAAUAAUAGCAUAUUAUUUUAUGUAAUAUUCUUGUACAAUGAAAAUGAAAAAAGUGCGUCUUUGUAGAUUAGUACAAUAAGAAAAGUAAGUUAAACUAGUAUACUUUUUCUUAGUUAAACUGGUAUUUAAUUAAACUGGUAUUCCAGAAGAAAAAAAACCUAAAGCUGACAGUCUUAAAAUUACAAAUCGGAAUGACGACAAUUCAUUCAAAGAGUUCUUUGAAUGUUUCGGCAGGCUGUCGGAAUUUAAAAUUUUUAGAACAGUAACUUCAUCAUAUUAUGGUUUUCCUUAGGCUUGGUGUCAUUGCUCCCUGUAUUCUGCUUUCAUUUGCAAUCGAUUCAGUACUUCAAAGUGUCCAUUAAUUCACCAAGCAGCAAAUUCAUCGGUGCUAGAUGUGACAGUUAUGAAGAUUUUCUGUCGGGGGCAUGUCACCGAUGUUGCCGAGACAACUCAACAGAAUGCGCUGUUGCAGGAAUGGACGCAGAAUACUAUUUUCCCAGGGAUCAACCCAGAGAGGAGAGAAAAUACUAUUUCAACACUGAAGACGUUUGUCCUUAUAACGAACAUUAUGACUUCAGCAUUUUUAAAAACUGUGGAUGCAACAAAGAUUCAACUAAAACCGUGAAAAGAGUUUUGUGAUAAUUGUAGCAUCUUACAUUGCAACAUCUUAUUUUAAGGAUUGCAACGAAUAUUUCGUUGAAGUUAUCAGAAAUAUGCAUAAAGAAAGACGGAACAAUACUGUAAUUAAACUAUCUAGUAGUACCAGA